AAAUAGGCUAAACUUCACUUUUCGCCCUCUAAGUUUCAAAAUGUUGUGAUUUUGGCCCCCUAUUAAAAAAAAUGGCAAAAGUGACCCCCUAUGUUUAGGGAAAUAUGCUCUUUUGACCUCCUAACAUAAGGGAAAUAUGCUUUUUGACCCCUUAUCUUUACAAAAAGUUGCGAUUAUGGCCCCUUUUUUGGGACACGUG
rnacentral:lncRNA from 1 species